GAUGAACGCUGGCGGCGUGCCUAAUACAUGCAAGUCGAGCGAACAGACGAGGGGCUUGCUCCUCUGACGUUAGCGGCGGACGGGUGAGUAACACGUGGGUAACCUACCUAUAAGACUGGGAUAACGUCGGGAAACCGGAGCUAAUACCGGAUAAUAUAUGGAACCGCAUGGUUCAAUAGUGAAAAACGGUUUUGCUGUCACUUAUAGAUGGAUCCGCGCCGCAUUAGCUAGUUGGUAAGUUAACGGCUUACCAAGUAGACGAUGCGUAGCCGACCUGAGAGGUGGAUCGGCCACCCUGGAACUGAGACACGGUCCAGACUCCUAAGGGAGGCAGCAGUAGGGAAUCUUCAGCAAUGGGCGAAAGCCUGACGGAGCAACGCCCCGUGAGUGAUGAAGGUCUUCGGAUCUUAAAACUCUGUUAUUAGGGACGAACAGUUGUGUAAGUAACUAUGCACGUCUUGACGGUACCUAAUCAGAAAGCCACGGCUAACUACGUG
rnacentral:rRNA from 1 species